GGAGGGGUGCCCGAGCGGCCAAAGGGGGCGGGCUGUAAACCCGCUGGCGUAUGCCUUCGGGGGUUCGAAUCCUCCCCCCUCCA
rnacentral:tRNA from 1 species